rnacentral:tRNA from 2 species
GGGGAGUUGCCCGAGUGGCCAAUGGGAACAGACUGUAAAUCUGUCGGCGAAUGCCUUCGCAGGUUCGAAUCCUGCACUCCCCACCA